rnacentral:rRNA from 1 species
AGUGAACGCUGGCGGUAGGCCUAACACGUGCAAGACGAACGGCAGCACAGUAAGAGCUUGCUCUUACGGGUGGCGAGUGGCGGACGGGUGAGGAAUACAUCGGAAUCUACUUUUUCGUGGGGGAUAACGUAGGGAAACUUACGCUAAUACCGCAUACGACCUACGGGUGAAGGCAGGGGAUCUUCGGACCUUGCGCGAUUGAAUGAGCCGAUGUCGGAUUAGCUAGUUGGCGGGGUAAAGGCCCACCAAGGCGACGAUCCGUAGCUGGUCUGAGAGGAUGAUCAGCCACACUGGAACUGAGACACGGUCCAGACUCCUACGGGAGGCAGCAGUGGGGAAUAUUGGACAAUGGGCGCAAGCCUGAUCCAGCCAUACCGCGUGGGUGAAGAAGGCCUUCGGGUUGUAAAGCCCUUUUGUUGGGAAAGAAAAGCAGCAGGUUAAUACCCCGCUGUUCUGACGGUACCCAAAGAAUAAGCACCGGCUAACUUCGUG